CCCCCAGUCCAUCUCUGCUGGGCGCUGUGGUACCGGUGGCUGGGUCUCCGUGGGUCUCCGUGGGUCUUCGGCGGGAUGUGUGCUGCGCGGUCCACGUUACCAAGGGGCGGGGCCGAGCCUUACCAGCCUUACAGCGCCGGUGGCUCUGCGCCCCCUCCGCGCAGCCGCGGUGGAGUCUGCCCUGACAUUCACACGUACACUUGUGAAUCGUGACAGGCAGCGUUCAGGGGUUUGGUCUCUAUGACUUCGCUGUUUUCCUCCCGCCGGACUCACCUCUCACAUACCCAGAGGUCCUCUUGAGGAGGCGUCUGGGAGAGUGGAGUUGGACGGAGUAUGAAUACAACUUUUGUGAGGAGAGAAGUUCCUUGACAACAGGAAUUGCCCUCUGGUACACGUGCAGCAUGUAAUUAGUGGACACCUGACUUGAAAGACGAAUAAUCCCAUUACAACAAAUGGACUGUAUCAUUGCAACAUGGAUGUCCUCAUAGAAAGAGAACUUUUUUCCUCCCCAAAAGUACAAAUUCGUUCAUUAACCUCAUGUAAUAUAUUCCAUCAGGCAUACAAUGAUACAAAAACAAUAACCACUUCAAAUGCAUUGGUUUAAUUCCAGGUGACACGGAGUUCAGGAUAGAACCAAGACUGAAGAGCACACAUUGGCAGGAUUCCUGGCUAGUUUCACUCUGACCUCAGAACUAACACAGAAAUGACUGAGUGACAAAAAAUAAAGAGAAUAUGAGCCACUGUAUGAUUGUUUUAUUUUUUUUUUUUACAAAAGUUUAUUCUUAAAUGUACAACAGGAUCUAAGACAACACUUCAUUCCAGCUAUAGAUAGCAACAGAUGCCAUGACAGGGAAUCCAGAUGUUUAAACAGGAAUGGAAUUAAGGAU